CAAAGGAAUUGACGGGACCGCACAAGCGGUGGAUGAUGUGGUUAAUUCGAUGCAACGCGAAAACCUUACCACCUUUGACAUGUACGGAAUCCUUUAGAGAUAGAGGAGUGCUCGAAAGAGAACCGUAACACAGGUGCUGCAUGGCUGUCGUCAGCUCGUGUCGUGAGAUGUUGGGUUAAGUCCCGCAACGAGCGCAACCCUUGUCAUUAGUUGCUACAUUCAGUUGGGCACUCUAAUGAGACUGCCGGUGACAAACCGGAGGAAGGUGGGGAUGACGUCAAGUCCUCAUGGCCCUUAUAGGUGGGGCUACACACGUCAUACAAUGGAUGGUACAAAGGGUCGCCAACCCGCGAGGGGGAGCCAAUCCCAUAAAGCCAUUCGUAGUCCGGAUCGCAGUCUGCAACUCGACUGCGUGAAGUCGGAAUCGCUAGUAAUCGUGGAUCAGCAUGUCCGCGGUCGAAUACGUUCCCGGGCCUU
rnacentral:rRNA from 1 species